GUCUACGGCCACGCCCCCCUGAACAUGCCCGAUCUCGUCUGAUCUUGGAAGCUAAGUAAGGUUGGGCCUGGUUAGUACUUGGAUGGGAGACUAUCAGGAAGAGCGAAUGCUGUAGGCA
rnacentral:rRNA from 1 species